AGAGAUUGGAGAGGUAGAUUCGCACACUGAUAGUGCAAGCUGCUUGCUUCUAAUUAAAUAUGCGACUGAGUCUCAGAGCAUUUGCUGUCAGCCACAGAGAGAAGAGGCAGCCUAAGAAAUGGGGAGGAAGAAAUCUAUCACAUAAUCUGUUUGUCCACAGUCUUCCUUGGGGUUUACAAAGAAUGAAAAGAAUUCUUUCCCCUGCUAUUAUAAUCUAUUCAACAAACAGAAACAUGGCAAAUAACAUAGAGAGCAUGACUGCUGCAAACAAAAUGUGGAGAAUCUCUAUUCGAGAGUAAAGAGAGUAAAGAUGGAACUACACAGAGCACAAAUCACUCGACAGACACUUGCCAGAUUUUCUCAUCACUUUAGAAGGACUCUAGAUGGACUCCAGAGAAACAUGACCUUUUGCAUUUAAAACAAGACAAAAUCAUAUACACAUUGUAAGAGGUCUUGGCUGAAAUAAAAUUUCAAAUAUGAAAAGUAAAGGCAACCAGUGGAUGUCUUUAACCAUGGAAAUGCUGAUCUGAGCGCGUGACUUGCAAAGUGCAAUUACGGCAUUGCAUGUUUUGUUUAUGGAUCUUUGCCAGAAGCAGACUUGAAAGUGUUACAGGAAUGAAGACAUCUGGCAGCUGGCAUGCUUACAAUUCAUUUGCCAAACACAAGUUGCACAUUGUUGGAAUUUUCAAUUGAAGGUCACGCACCAGAAGCUGCAGUGAAGAGCUGCACAGGGACUGGAGAGCAGGCAGCGGGAUAGAUGGAUGGACAAAGCUGCUGGGGACCGUUUAAGCUGGAGAUCUGUGCACACUGCCCACAAUCGGGUGGCAUCUUAAAAAAGAGGGUUUUCAAAGCUCACUUUAGGAUUCUUGCACUUCAUGGGCUCCCCUUUAUUGCCGCCAAUCAAAGUUCUCAGAUGACAACACCCCGAGUUCCUGCCACUGGGGUCCAAAACUGGAUCAUAUCUCCAGCUGAUAACAAGCAAAUAAAGAAGCCUCUCCUGGGCCAAAUUACAGAGGAAAUCUCCAAGUUCAGAGGUGGCAUUCUUCAUCUUCUCUGGUUCCUUAAAUAUACGGGGCAUAUUUUGGUACCUUGACUUUGGAGGGGAAAGUAAUUUUAAUUGCAAGCUUUUUCCAAGACUUCUGCCUGGAAUAGGGGUUUAUGCAUCUAUCCCUAAGAUCUAAAUGUGCUGUUUUCUAGAAGACAGGACACAGAUGCCCCGAAGUGUGCACCCCCACACUGGGAUCCAGCACAACUGAAUGGGGAGAAUGACACAGAAUGUACCCUGGAUCACAUGGAUCAAUGAAUGAGACUCCAUACUGUGUUCUGUUCCUGUGUUUGACACUUGGGAGAUCCUCACCGACCCCCUCCACUCUAUGCUUAAGCCCACCAUAACCUUAUCAUUUCACGGUGACCACUGAAGAAGGUGCUGUUUGUUAUGCUAAUUUUGAAAUUUGAAAUGAGGGGUGUUUGUAACAAGCCAAAGAUCUGACUUACAAAAAUCCAAUAUUUAAUUACUACUGUACAUUGUUAUCCAGAAAGUAGAAAUUACAAUUGGCAAUACUUGCAAUAAAUAUAUUUUACUAUAAAAUGCUAAGCAUACUUAUUC